rnacentral:rRNA from 1 species
UACGUAGGGCGCAAGCGUUGUCCGGAAUUAUUGGGCGUAAAGAGCUCGUAGGCGGUCUGUCGCGUCUGCCGUGAAAACCCGAGGCUUAACCUCGUGGCUUGCGGUGGAUACGGGCAGACUAGAGGUAGGUAGGGGAGAAUGGAAUUCCCGGUGUAGCGGUGAAAUGCGCAGAUAUCAGGAGGAACACCGGUGGCGAAGGCGGAUCUCUGGGCCUUACCUGACGCUGAGGCGCGAAAGCUAGGGGAGCGAACAGG